rnacentral:rRNA from 1 species
AGUGAAUGCUGGCGGUAGGCCUAACACAUGCAAGUCGAACGGCAGCACAGUAAGAGCUUGCUCUUACGGGUGGCGAGUGGCGGACGGGUGAGGAAUACAUCGGAAUCUACUUUUUCGUGGGGGAUAACGUAGGGAAACUUACGCUAAUACCGCAUACGACCUACGGGUGAAAGCAGGGGACCUUCGGACCUUGCGCGAUUGAAUGAGCCGAUGUCGGAUUAGCUAGUUGGCGGGGUAAAGGCCCACCAAGGCGACGAUCCGUAGCUGGUCUGAGAGGAUGAUCAGCCACACUGGAACUGAGACACGGUCCAGACUCCUACGGGAGGCAGCAGUGGGGAAUAUUGGACAAUGGGCGCAAGCCUGAUCCAGCCAUACCGCGUGGGUGAAGAAGGCCUUCGGGUUGUAAAGCCCUUUUGUUGGGAAAGAAAAGCAGCAGGUUAAUACCCCGCUGUUCUGACGGUACCCAAAGAAUAAGCACCGGCUAACUUCGUG